rnacentral:rRNA from 1 species
CGGUGAGGAAACCGUACGCCUCCUCAGAGGGGACGGAACAAGUUGGUAAACGGAACUAGCUAAUAACCGCAUAAUAUAUCUGUAUCGCAUGGUAUGGAUAUCAAAGAUUUAUCGCUGAGAGAUGGCCUCGCGUCUGAUUAGCUAGUUGGUAGGGUAACGGCCUACCAAGGCGACGAUCAGUAGCCGGACUGAGAGGUUGGCCGGCCACAUUGGGACUGAGAUACGGCCCAGACUCCUACGGAAGGCAGCAG